rnacentral:rRNA from 1 species
CACAGCCGCGGUAAUACAGAGGGUGCGAGCGUUAAUCGGAUUUACUGGGCGUAAAGCGUGCGUAGGCGGCUUUUUAAGUCGGAUGUGAAAUCCCUGAGCUUAACUUAGGAAUUGCAUUCGAUACUGGGAAGCUAGAGUAUGGGAGAGGAUGGUAGAAUUCCAGGUGUAGCGGUGAAAUGCGUAGAGAUCUGGAGGAAUACCGAUGGCGAAGGCAGCCAUCUGGCCUAAUACUGACGCUGAGGUACGAAAGCAUGGGGAGCAAACAGGAUUAGAUACCCCUGUAGUCCCUGUCUCUUAUACA